CAGCAUUUACGAGGUGAGUCUUCUCACUAUACUGUACCCGGAAGGGUUUGACUGUGUGACCGGAAGGUCGGUUAUGAUAUGUGAUAUGUAUGCUAUAUGUGGUAUGUUAUAUGUUAUAUGUGCUAUGUAUGUUAUGGGCCGGAAGGCGAUUAUAUUAUGGGCCGGAAGGCGAUAUGAUGUGUGAUGGACCGGAAGGUCGGCGUGGGUAAGGCCGGAAGGUUUACCCAGCAGGGACGGAAGUCCCCUGAGACACAUGGACCGGAAGGUCGGGCCUGGAAAGGCGUAUGUGCGUAAGUUGUAUAUUGGGGAACUCACUAAGCAUUUAUGCUUACAGUUGUUGUGCAUGUAUUUCAGGUACUAGCGAGGACCGUGGGAAGGCGCCGGCAUGAUCGAUACACACUGAAGAUUGUUUUAUGAUCUUGGGAGUUUGAAUAAUUGUAUUGACCGAAUAAUUGAACUGUUUAUGCCUUGUUUUUAAUGGAAAUAAUUAUGUUUUAAAAAUGAAAAAUUUGUUUGAAAAAUUUGAGUUGUUACAAUUGGUAUCAGAGCCUUGGUUUGAGGGAUUCGGGUGCACCUUCGGGGGUAACUGAACUCAAACCGAGGAUUUGAGGAAACUUUUCAAAUAAAGGCAUAAACUUUUGUAAAUGGUUUUGUGGUAAGCAAGAAAGAAGCAGUGUGUACGAUCAGUCAGCGCCCGAACGGUAAAGAUCCCCAAAAUACCUUACAAUAUUAUAUGAUAUGAAUUGUUAUGCAUGCUAGAAGACUAGGUAUUCAUGAUAGGACUAGAGUGGCCUGAUUUGUGAUGCCUUAGUCUAGGGAAGUUGCUUAUAUGAGAUGCUUUGCUAGUAUGCGGGUAGAUAGAGCGUAUCAGAAGUAGAGUACUCACUAUCUGGAGUUUGGGGAGGAGGACUUGGGAUGAACAUUGAUGCGGUGUGGUCGGUAGUAUUGGGCCCGUACUACCGAGGACACCGGGUCAGUGGGAGGCCCAAGUAAGAAUCCCUGGAUAUCUGGGACUGAGUAGGGUUGCGUGUCGAGUACGAUUAUACUCGGUAGAAUCUCUGAUAGUUUUAUGUUGUAUUUCAGAGAUAUCAUGGUUAGACCGCGGCACGGGGCAAGUACGAGCGGUGUGAGUGACGAGGAUAUUCGUCAGAUGAUCCACGAGGAGGUGGCGGCGGCGAUCCGGGCUGAGAUCCCGGAGAUGUUUGGGUCUAUCAAGACCACCCUGAUGGAGACGUUCGACGAGCGGUACGCCGCAUUGACUGAGGCUGCAACCGCUGCAGCUACCGCAGCUGUGGCCGCUGCUAGGCCACAGGGGGGUGAUUCAUUGCUGUUCCGAGAGUUCAGCAACACGAAGCCACCAGAGUUCGAUGGGACGCAGGAUCCGAUUGCUGCGAUGAGGUGGAUCGCAGAUAUAGAGGGGUGCUUCUACACUUGUUCAUGCCCGGAGCACCUGAGGGUACGGUUCGCUUUGAACCAGCUCCGUCUGGGAGCGAAGGACUGGUGGAAGUUCGUGACGGCGAACUUCACUUUGGCAGAGACUGCGGCAGUGACAUGGGAGGGGUUCACUACCAUGUUCAGGGAGGAGUACGUUCCCCCGGUGGAGCGGGAACGAUUGGUUCAGGAGUUCUUAACCCUCAAGCAGGGUACUGAUUCGGUGGCGGCGAUCACGCGGAAGUUCCAUGAGAGGGCGAUGUUUUGCCCCGAGCUGGUGGCCACAGAGCAGGCUCGGAUGAGCCGGUACUUGGGUGUUCUGAGGAGGGAGAUCCGGGAGUUUGUGUCAAACUCCACUUACCAUACUUUUACUGAGCUUCAGGCGAAUGCCAGGAAGCGUGAGAUCGAGUUAGAGACUCAGGCCAGGGAGGAGGCCGAGUCUCAGCAGGCAGACCGGCGGCCGGCUCAGUCUCAGCCGGCAGCCAAGCGGAUCAAGUCCGCCGAUUCGAGGACGGGAGGUUCGAAGAACCGCACUUGCGUAAAGUGCGGCAAGGGUCACGAUGGGGCGUGUCGAGCCGGUGCUUGCUACAAGUGCGGCAAGGAGGGGCACAUUGCUAGGGAGUGCCCCAAGGGGUUUAUGGUUUGCUUCCAUUGCAACCAGACCGGCCAUCGGAAGGCCGAGUGUCCGCAGCUUCGUCAGGGAUCUGCACCUGUUGCCAGGACUACUGAGACUCGACCGGUGAAGGUCGAGGCCCCGAGGGCUCGUGGGAGAGCCUUUCAGCUGACUGCGGAGGAGGUCCGCGCUGCGCCCGAUGUUGUGGCAGGUAUGUUGUAAUUCAUGUAUUUAUUUUAAUGUCGAGAUGUUAUGCUUAUGUUAUUAUAUGCGUAGGUACUUUCCUUGUGAACUCUGUGCCUGCCUUAGUGUUAUUUGACUCGGGUGCUAGUAGGUCCUUUGUGUCCUUAGCCUUUAGUCAGCAUAUCGGCGUUAGUCGUGAGUCGUUGAGUCGACCUUUGAGAGUUUCUAUAGCUGACGAGAAAGUGAUUUGUGCUACGGAGGUUCUUCGGGGAUGUGUACUAGAGAUUUUCGGGGUUGGAUUCCCGAUUGACCUGAUUCCUAUUGCGAUGGGGGAUGUCUGUGUUAUCGUGGGCAUGGACUGGUUGAGCCGAUUCGGCGCUGUCAUCGACUGUGAGCGUCAGUUGGUGACCAUACGAGACCAUAGUGGGGGAGUUCUUUCGGUGUACGGCGAGGGUACCCGUUCGGGAUCAGCUUUUUGUUCGGCCGCUAGGGCGAGGCAGUGUCUACAGCAGGGCUGUAAGGGUUUUGUGGCGUAUGUGAUGGAUACGCGGGAGGUUUCCGAGAGACCGAAGUCAGUUGAGGAGGUCCCUGUGGUGCGUGAGUUUUCAGAUGUUUUUCCCGAGGAACUGCCGGGAGUACCUCCUGUGAGGCAAGUAGAGUUUGGUAUCGAUCUGGUUCCGGGGGCCGCGCCUAUUGCUAAAGUGCCCUAUCGUCUUGCACCUCCAGAGAUGCAAGAGUUGUCCUCGCAACUCCAGGAGUUGCUGGGAAAGGGAUUCAUUCGGCCGAGCAGCUCGCCAUGGGGAGCACCUAUUCUGUUCGUCAAGAAGAAGGAUGGUUCACACCGGAUGUGCAUUGAUUACCGGGAGUUGAACAAGCUAACGGUCAAGAACCGUUACCCGUUGCCGAGGAUCGAUGAUUUAUUCGAUCAGUUGCAGGGAGCAUCUUGGUUUUCCAAGAUCGAUCUGAGGUCAGGAUACCAUCAGGUGAGAGUACGGGAUGAAGACGUCCAGAAGACAGCGUUUAGGACGCGAUAUGGGCAUUAUGAGUUUGUGGUGAUGCCUUUUGGACUCACCAAUGCCCCGGCUGUGUUCAUGGAUCUCAUGAACAGGGUAUGCAGGCCGAUGUUGGAUCGGUCAGUGAUUGUAUUUAUCGACGACAUUCUGGUGUAUUCGAGAUCUAGAGAGCAGCAUGAGGAGCAUUUGAGGGAGGUCCUUGAGGUAUUGAGGUCGGAGAAGCUUUAUGCAAAGUUCUCCAAAUGUGACUUCUGGUUGCGGGAGGUCCAGUUUCUAGGACAUGUGGUUAAUCAGAAAGGGAUAUUGGUCGAUCCGGCCAAGGUUGAGGCGGUGAUGAGUUGGGAGGUGCCGAAGUCACCCUCUGAGAUCAGAAGUUUCCUUGGGUUGGCAGGGUAUUAUCGGAGAUUUAUCAAGGAUUUCUCCAAGAUCGCAGUGCCACUCACCAGAUUGACCCGGAAGGGUGUUACAUUCUCAUGGGGGCCCGAGCAGCAGACCUCCUUUGAGACACUUCGCCAGAGAUUGUGCGAAGCCCCGGUAUUAGCUCUCCCAGAAGGGAUGGAAGAUUUCGUGGUAUAUUGCGACGCAUCGAUUUCGGGAUUGGGUGCAGUGUUGAUGCAGAGGGGUCAUGUGAUAGCUUAUGCGUCGAGGCAGCUGAAGCCUCAUGAGGCGAGAUAUCCCACGCAUGAUUUAGAGUUGGGGGCAGUAGUGUUCGCUCUCAAGAUUUGGCGUCACUACUUGUAUGGGGUUCGAUGUACGAUAUACACGGACCAUAAGAGUUUGAAGUAUUUGAUGGAUCAACCCAACCUAAAUAUGCGUCAGAGGAGGUGGUUGGAUGUGGUCAAGGAUUAUGAUUGUGAGAUCCUGUACCACCCAGGCAAGGCUAAUGUGGUAGCCGAUGCAUUGAGCCGCAGGGCGGAGAGCACUCCAUUGCGAGAUGUAUGCUUGAGACUGACUGUGAUGACUCCAGUAUUGGACGCUAUUCGUGGGGCCCAGGCAGAGGCUGUGCGACCAGAAAUGCAGAAGAAAGAGCGGGUUGUGGGGUUAAUCUCAGAGUUUGUCAAGGAUAGUCGAGGCCUUAUGACGUUUCAGGGUCGGAUUUGGGUACCGUUCGUGGGCGGUACGCGUAUUACGUUGAUGGAAGAGGCUCAUAGAUCGAAAUUCUCGAUCCAUCCCGGUGCUACAAAGAUGUAUUUGGAUUUAAGGAAGGAAUAUUGGUGGCCCUGUAUGAAGAGGGACGUGGCAUGGUUCGUUGAGAGGUGCUUGACCUGCCGUAGGGUUAAGGCUGAGCACCAGAGACCGCAUGGCAAGUUACAGCCAUUGGAGAUCCCCGAGUGGAAGUGGGAACAGAUCACUAUGGAUUUUAUCACCAAAUUGCCGAGGACUGCUAGGGGAGUUGACGCAAUUUGGGUGAUCGUGGAUAGGUUGACAAAGAGUGCACACUUCCUUGCCAUCAGUGAGAGUUCUUCGGCGGAGAAAUUGGCGGAGAUAUACGUGAGAGAGGUGGUAUCUCGGCACGGGGUGCCGAUCUCGAUUGUGUCAGACCGUGAUGUGCGCUUUACUUCCAGAUUCUGGAAGAAAUUCCAUGAGGAGCUGGGUACUAAAUUGCAUUUUAGUACCGCAUACCAUCCCCAGACAGACGGUCAGAGCGAGCGGACAAUUCAGACGCUGGAGGACAUGCUCCGAGCGUGUGUGUUAGACUUCGGGGGUAGUUGGGAUGCGUAUUUACCAUUGGCAGAGUUUUCCUACAACAACAGCCAUCAUUCGAGCAUUGGUAUGCCACCUUUCGAGCUGUUGUAUGGUAGGAGGUGUCGGACCCCCAUUUGCUGGGGAGAGGUGGGACAGAGAGUGAUGGGCAGCACGGAGAUCGUGCUCCAGACGACAGAGCAGAUUCAGCGAGUGAGACAAAGGUUAUUGACUGCCCAGAGCCGACAGAAGAGUUAUGCAGACAGGCGCCGAUCCGAGCUUGAAUUUCAGGUCGGCGACUUCGUUCUCCUGAAGGUCUCUCCUUGGAAAGGAGUGAUUCGAUUCAGGAAGAGGGGCAAGUUGGGGCCCCGGUAUAUUGGGCCAUUUCGUGUGAUUGCAAGGAUAGGUCGGGUAGCCUAUCGGUUGGAGUUGCCAGCGGAGUUGGGUCAGAUCCAUGACACUUUUCAUGUGUCGCAGUUGAGGAAGUGCAUAGCCGAUGAGUCGGCAGUGGUUCCAUUGGAGGAUAUUCAGGUGGAUGCGAGCCUGAAUUACGCGGAGAGACCAGUGGCGAUCAGGGAUCGGAAGAUCAAGGUUCUGAGGAACAAGGAGGUACCUCUGGUGUUGGUUCAAUGGCAACACCGUAAGGGAUCAGAAAUGACUUGGGAACCGGAGCGCGAAAUGCGGGAGCAGCAUCCGGAACUAUUUGCAGAGUGAGACUUCGAGGGCGAAGUCUAAUCCAAGUGGGGGAGAGUUGUAACAGCCCGGAAUCUCAGGUAUUAUUAAAAUUAUGUUUUUGGGGUGAUUUAAGAGGGGACUCGGCGAGUUGGAGCCUAGACUCGCCGAGUAGGAUCGCAGACUUGGUCGCGGGUUCGCGACUGGACUCGACGAGUCCAGAUAUGGACUCGGCGAGUCUACGCUGUUUAGCGAAAACCCUAACCGUUCAGGUUUGGGACGUAUAAAAGGGACUCAUUGGCCGUCAUUGUUCGUUUUAGCCUUCUGAGAAGAACCCUAGAUCGAUUGGGUGCAGCUGGAGCAAGGAUCUUAGGCCAUUGUUGGUUAUAGAAGAGUGGUUGUGCAAGGAAGAGAAAGGAUUGGCUAAAGGAGCAGCAAGGGGUCACAUUCUGAGGAUUGGGAAUACAGAGAAUACAUCAUCCAGGUAAGAAUUCGUGUAUGCUCUGCUAUAUUGAUGUAUUUAUGAAAUUAGGGUUUAUAGAACCCAUUUAGUGAUUUGAUGAAGUAAUGCCUUGUUACCCCACGAUUAUAAUCUUGUAUUAGGACCUUUAGAGGUCCAGAAGGUCCCAUGCAUGUGUACUUCGGGACGAGACCUAUCUCAGGAAGCAGUUACUCGUCUGCAUGGCAUGGACUCGCCGAGUUGUUCUUCAGACUCGGCGAGUAGCUUGAAGAUUUACUGGGACUCGCCGAGUUGUUCAUCAGACUCGGCGAGUGGAGUCGGGGUGGCCCCGCGAUUCUUCCAGGAGUAACUCGUCGGGUCGAGGAGGGUACUCGACGAGUAGAUAAGGAAUCUCAGAAAGUUGGAAGACGUCUAGACUCGCCGAGUCGUCAUGGUACUCGCCGAGUCCGGUCGAGUUGACAGUUGACCGUUGACCAGAGUUGACCUAAGUCUGACUUCUUAGGGAUAGUCACACUUAGAAGAUAUAAGUAUUAAUGAGAUAUGUAAUGUUAUAGGGAGGUUGUAGCUCGUCGGUUGUGCACGAGUCAUUUCGGGAUUUGCUAGCGUUCAGCUUUUACGAGGUGAGUCUUCUCACUAUACUGUACCCGGAAGGGUUUGACUGUGUGACCGGAAGGUCGGAUAUGAUAUGUGAUAUGUAUGCUAUAUGUGGUAAGUUAUUUGUUAUAUGUGCUAUGUAUGUUAUGGGCCGGAAGGCGAUUAUAUUAUGGGCCGGAAGGCAAUAUGUUAUGGGCCGGAAGGCGAUAUGAUGUGUGAUGGACCGGAAGGUCGGCGUGGGUAAGGCCGGAAGGUUUACCCAGCAGGGACGGAAGUCCCCUGAGACACAUGGACCGGAAGGUCGGGCCUGGAAAGGCGUAUGUGCGUAAGUUGUAUAUUGGGGAACUCACUAAGCAUUUAUGCUUACAGUUGUUGUGCAUGUAUUUCAGGUACUAGUGAGGACCGUGGGAAGGCGCCGGCAUGAUCGAUACACACUGAAG
rnacentral:lncRNA from 1 species